CAGCCGCCGCGGGAAAACGUAGGUGGCAAGCGUUGUCCGGAAUUAUUGGGCGUAAAGGGCUCGCAGGCGGUUUCUUAAGUCUGAUGUGAAAGCCCCCGGCUCAACCGGGGAGGGUCAUUGGAAGCUGGGAAACUUGAGUGCAGAAGAGGGGAGUGGAAUUCCACGUGUAGCGGUGAAAUGCGUAGAGAUGUGGAGGAACACCAGAGGCGAAGGCGACUCUCUGGUCUGUAACUGACGCUGAGGAGCGAAAGCGUGGGGAGCGGACAGGAUUAGAGACCCCCGUAGUCCCUGUCUCUUAUAC
rnacentral:rRNA from 1 species